CGGCCCGUGCCCGCAGCCCGCCGCUGGCUCCCCCCGCCGCUCUCUGCGGGGCGACGCGUCCGCCCCGCCCGCGCCGCCGCCGCCCGCCUCCCGCCGGCCGCGGGGGCGGGAGCGCUCCCGCAUCCCCCGGCGAGCGGAGCGGAGCGGAGCAGCCCCGCGCUUCCUCCCACCGCCGGAACUGCGGCUACGGAGCGCGGGGGGCGGCCGGAGCCGAGCGGCGGCGCACCGGGACACAGCGAACGUGCAGGGCCACGGCGGGCGCGCCGGGCGGCUCUGUACCGGGGCACAGCGAAUGUACGGGGCUACAGUGAAUAUUCCGGGACACAGCGAAUGAAAAAAAAAUUGCACAUUUGAAGGUGGGAGAACCAAAAAUCAUUUUUCAUGCAAGUUUCUUUUUCCCAGAAUGCACAUGCUGAAAUGAUUGUUAAGCACAGCUUCCAGUGGUUUUGAUUGCUUCAGUUCAUGCCUGCCUUGCCUAGGAUGUGAAGUUCCCCAGAGCAAGAGGCUGACCCCGUAUUUGUGAAACAUAUACAGAAAUAACAAUUUCAGAGUCUGGAGGCUCUUUUGUCUCUGAUGCCAAGCUGUUUGAGCUGCAUUUCUGAGGGUGAAGGUGCUGGUGCCCACACAGCCUGCCCUGCCAACAUGGAAAGGCAGCCUCAUCCCUCGCCUCCUUGUGCAGCAUCCUCACCAUUCAUCAGCUGCUUGACCAGGAGCAGCACAUUCCCCGCUUCCAGUGGUAACACACCUUGAAUGAUGGCAGAGAGUUAUCACACAGGUGCUGAUGAUGAGGGCUUAGCAAACACUUCAGCUGGUACAAAGCUAGCACCAGAAUUUAGGCCUCUUUUCAGGCACUCUCUUGUCCCUGAAGGGCAGGCCUAGCAUGACUGGAGUCACUGAAACCCCAUCCCUGGUACUGACAUCAGCAGGAAUGACUAAUUGCAUCUAGGAAAUUACUCUUGGAAUAUUGUGCUGACCUUUUUUAUAUAAGUAUUUUUCAGAGAAGUGGAGCAAUAUGAUCUUUAAUAUAUCUUAAUGUCUUACUAAAUACACUAGUCAGGCACAUCUCCUAUCCCAACAUAGCAACCAGCAGUCUUAGCCCCACAUUCUUGUCUGACCAUGUUACAGCUGGCAGAAGAAAGGGCGAUGUCACUGCUUUUGAUGGUUUCCAACUUUAAGCAGGAAGCAAUUUGGCCUGAUACUUGAAGAUUAUAAAUCAGUAAUACAAGUCAUAGUCCAAACACUAAGCAGACACGAGAUCCCUUCUCAAAAGCUGCAUCUAGUGUUAUUAAAACAGCUUGGGCUCAAGCAGCCCUUUGCAGCUGGUGCUGCUUUUCACUGGAGUGAGUAGAAACCACUCCAGCACAGGCAAAAUGCACUCCUACCAGUCAGGUUAGCUAUUACCAAGCUACUGCUUGUCUGCUAAGAUUUCCUAGACAGCAGAAAAAGAAGUGAAUGGGACUGUACUUGGCAAGGGAUGGGAGGGUGCAACUUCCAUCUGGGAUGCAGAUUCUUGACUCUGAAGCAGCUCUGAUAAUCCCAGCUGUAAUUUUCCAAGGAGGAAACAUAAGCCAGGCCAUUUGUUACAGAGAAGUGUGAUUUCUCUAGAAGGGCAGUUCAGUUUCCUCAGUUUUUUUUCAAUCCCAGCCAGCAUUGCCAAGCUUUGACUUCAUUUCCAGAGCUGAUGCUUUCCAAGCCAGGAGUUGUCUGAGUUGAAUGGCCCCAUUUGAAAUUAUUAAUUUUACCUGUAUCAGCCUGUGUAACUGCUUUUAUGAGACAAAGGGCACUAUGAAAAAUGCGGAGAACAAACAGACCUAGUAUGUGAGCAGGAUGCCUGUCACUGUGUAAUUAUGUAUAACUGUACAGUUACAUAAAUGCUUUUCUUGGGAAUCACCAGUGACGGCAGCAAGCUUUGCCUGUCAUGUUUUGGCUAGUUAAAGCACUGAUUCAUCACACUUUGAAUACUCAGUUUCCUGCUUGUUCUAUGGUAAAUGGAUUACUGCCUGCAAUUUCAAUAGUAAUUAAUGAAGAUGAGAGAUAGAUCCAGUGAUAAAACUGGGUUGUCUGAAGAAGUGGAAUGAUUUACUCCACUUGUCAAGUCUCACAGUGUUACUAGAAUAUCACUAGCUUGUUUGCAGACUGAUUCAUCCUCUUCUUGAAAGAUGCAUUUUUAUCAGUUGGAGUAACAAAUCUAUGCAUACAAAGCAUGACUUGACUCUUUUGUUCCUCCUCCACGUGAAGUAUCCCCCUCCUUCCCUUUAUGCCACUCACCUUGGGCUGAUUUUUGCAGUUGCAUAUUUCUUCUUGAGCUUCUACAAGAUCUAUCAUUAAGAAACUGUCCUGGUUUAGGGCAAAUUUGGGUGAGAAUCUCCAAAGUGGGGGGGCCCUCCAGAAAGCAAACCCACACAGCCUCUCCUAUAACUGGUUUGGGAAGAAUUCCUUGGAGAGAAGUGCAAAGAACCUGUUUAUUUAACAGGCACAGCACCCCACAGGACACAAAAUGAACAAGACCAGGUGACACCACUCUUUCAGCACUCUGAAAAAGAUGACAAAAUGAGAAAGUCUCUCUCAGGGGUGGUUGCUCUGUUCUCAGUCCCUCCGGUGCUGGGGCAGCUGCUGCAGCCACAGGGUGCAAACCCUCGGUGUUCCCAGGUCCCAGUCUGGAGCAGGUUCGAGAUGGUCCCAAAAAAGGAAAGGAGAAACAGUCCAGGAAGAAAUUUGGACUGUUUAGCUAAACUAGCUAAUAAGCAGAAGCUAGAGCAAGAGCAAAGCGAAAAGCAAAAGUAAAAAAGCAAAAAAGCAAAAGCAGCACUAUGUACUGCCCGUCUCUGUGUCUCGCCAGCCAUGGGGGAGCGGCUGAUAAGAAACCAAAACAAAACUUUCACUCUUCAGAGCCAGUCUUGAAGGCACAGAACAUGAUAUCCAGCAUAAACAGAACACAUGAAUGGGGAUACAAACAUCACAAUGUCACCCUAGGACAGAAACUCAUGGAGAAAUUAAUUUAUGUACAGUUCAGAUCAGCAAAGAGUCAACAUGUUGGUGUACAGUGCUAGGGAAAGUGCCAAAUGUUUGUAUGGUUCUUGUGAUGGGAGAAUCUGAUGAAACCAGGCUUUAGUUGGCCUUAGCUGGCUGCACUGUUUUUUUCCUGUGUACAUCAUGUUAAUUUGUUAAAUAUUCUUCCUAACUUUACAUAAAUCUGACUUGACAGGAGAAGAGUUGGUCCUGCCCUAGGAAUUGCAAGAAGAAUGAUGUUUGUUGACAAAGGUAGAUGAUAUCUUCCCCUUCAGUGAGUCAGGAUGUCAGCAGCAACGACUUGGACAGGAAUUGACAGGAAAUUUACACUUAGUCCUUGAACUCUGUGGUUUUGGCAGAGAUUUGACUGAAUGAAACACAAAGUGACAGAGGGAGAAACCUGGAUUCCCUCCCAGAGGGAGAGUUUACUUGAAUUGCUCAGUCACGGACUAGCUUGUUUCAUUCACAGAAAAAAUUCUGGAUCUUAAGAGAGACUACUGUAGUAUCCAUCCCAUUGACAUCAGGGACCCUGAGAAGCAGCUGUCAUGUCACCAUUCUCUGCAAUAUCCUUUGGAGGGUGUAAUUAAUUGUUGUAAACCUCCAGUGUGACUCCACUGAAUUUAAUCAGCCCCACAAAUAUCACUGAAACUUCUCUGGUGUAUUUUUGUAAAGAGGAUUUACCUAUAAAACAAACCCGGUGUUCAUUCAAAAUGUCAGGUAAUUUUAUCCUGAAACAAUUUAUUUUAUGCUUGAGUUUAAAUUUUCAUUAGUUCAAA